rnacentral:lncRNA from 1 species
CCUACAUUAGAUCAAUAUUCAUCCUACAUUAGAUCAAUAUUCAUCCUACAUUACAUCAAUAUUCAUCCUACAUUAGAUCAAUAUUCAUCCUACAUUAGAUCAAUAUUCAUCCUACAUUAGAUCAAUAUUCAUCCUACAUUAGAUCAAUAUUCAUCCUACAUUAGAUCCAACCCGACACACGUGCGCCCUCUCCAACAACCCAACACACGUGCGCUCUCUCCAACAACCCAACACACGUGCGCUCUCUCCAACAACCCAACACACGUGCGCUCUCUCCAACCCGACACACGUGCGCUCUCUCCAACCCGACACACGUGCGCCCUCUCCAACAACCCAACACACGUGCGCUCUCUCCAACAACCCAACACACGUGCGCUCUCUCCAACCCGACACACGUGCGCUCUCUCCAACCCGACACACGUGCGCCCUCUCCAACAACCCAACACACGUGCGCUCUCUCCAACAACCCAACACACGUGCGCUCUCUCCAACCCGACACACGUGCGCUCUCUCCAACAACCCAACACACGUGCGCUCUCUCCAACCCGACACACGUGCGCUCUCUCCAACCCGACACACGUGCGCUCUCUCCAACCCGACACACGUGCGCCCUCUCCAACAACCCAACACACGUGCGCUCUCUCCAACCCGACACACGUGCGCCCUCUCCAACAACCCAACACACGUGCGCUCUCUCCAACCCAACACACGUGCGCUCUCUCCAACAACCCGACACACGUGCGCUCUCUCCAACAACCCGACACACGUGCGCUCUCUCCAACAACCCGACACACGUGCGCUCUCUCCAACCCGACACACGUGCGCUCUCUCCAACCCAACACACGUGCGCUCUCUCCAACAACCCGUCACACGUGCGCUCUCUCCAACCCAACACACGUGCGCUCUCUCCAACAACCCGACACACGUGCGCUCUCUCCAACCCGACACACGUGCGCUCUCUCCAACCCGACACACGUGCGCUCUCUCCAACCCGUCACACGUGCGCUCUCUCCAACCCGACACACGUGCGCUCUCUCCAACCCGACACACGUGCGCUCUCUCCAACCCGACACAUGUGCGCUCUCUCCAACAACCCGACACACGUGCGCUCUCUCCAACCCGACACACGUGCGCUCUCUCCAACAACCCGACACACGUGCGCUCUCUCCAAC